CCUACGGGAGGCAGCAGUGAGGAAUAUUGGUCAAUGGCCGGAAGGCUGAACCAGCCAUGCCGCGUGAAGGUCAGUGCCCUAUGGGCGUUAAACUUCUUUUGUGCGGGAGCAAUAAUGGUCACGUGUGGCCAGACGAGAGUACCGUACGAAUAAGCAUCGGCUAACUCCGUGCCAGCAGCCCCGGUAAUACGGGGGAUGCAAGCGUUAUACGGAUUUUUUGGGGUUAAAGGGGGCGUAGGCGGGGAGGUAAGUCAGCGGGGAAAUGCCCCCGCUCAACGGGGUGAAGUGCCAUUGAUACUGGCUUGCUUGAAUGCGGAUGCCGUAGGAGGAAUGUGUGGUGUAGCGGUGAAAUGCAUAGAUAUCACACAGAACACCGAUUGCGAAGGCAUCUCACG
rnacentral:rRNA from 1 species